rnacentral:rRNA from 1 species
GAUGAACGCUGGCGGUGUGCCUAAUACAUGCAAGUCGAGCGAACAGACGAGGAGCUUACUCCUCUGACGUUAGCGGCGGACGGGUGAGUAACACGUGGAUAACCUACCUAUAAGACUGGGAUAACUUCGGGAAACCGGAGCUAAUACCGGAUAACAUGUUGAACCGCAUGGUUCAACGGUGAAAGACGGUCUUGCUGUCACUUAUAGAUGGAUCCGCGUCGCAUUAGCUAGUUGGUAAGGUAACGGCUUACCAAGGCAACGAUGCGUAGCCGACCUGAGAGGGUGAUCGGCCACACUGGAACUGAGACACGGUCCAGACUCCUACGGGAGGCAGCAGUAGGGAAUCUUCCGCAAUGGGCGAAAGCCUGACGGAGCAACGCCGCGUGAGUGAAGAAGGUCUUCGGAUCGUAAAACUCUGUUAUUAGGGAAGAACAAAUGUGUAAGUAACUAUGCACGUCUUGACGGUACCUAAUCAGAAAGCCACGGCUAACUACGUG